rnacentral:rRNA from 1 species
AGUCAUAUGCUUGUCUCAAAGAUUAAGCCAUGCAUGUGUAAGUACGAGCCCGUACACGGUGAAACUGCGAAUGGCUCAUUAAAUCAGUUGUGGUUCCUUAGAUCGUUGCCCCCAGUACGUGGAUAACUGUGGUAAUUCUAGAGCUAAUACAUGCACCCAAGCCCCGAUCCCUCUGCGGAGAAGGGCGCAGUUAUUAGACCAAGACCAACGCGGGUGCGGCUGGACUCCGGUCCUCCCCCCGGUGUAACCUCUGUGGUGACUCUGGAUAACCUCGGGCUGAUCGCACGGCCACCGAGCCGGCGACGUAUCUUUCAAAUGUCUGCCCUAUCAAAUGUCGAAGGGACGUGCCAUGCCUCCCUUGUUUGUAACGGGUGACGGGGAAUCAGGGUUCGAUUCCGGAGAGGGAGCAUGAGAAACGGCUACCACAUCCAAGGAAGGCAGCAGGCGCGCAAAUUACCCACUCCUGACACGGGGAGGUAGUGACGAUAACUAACGAUACGGGACUCGAUCGAGGCUCCGUAAUCGGAAUGAGUACACUUUAAAUCCUUUAGCGAGGAUCUAUUGGAGGGCAAGUCUGGUGCCAGCAGCCGCGGUAAUUCCAGCUCCAAUAGCGUAUAUUAAAGUUGUUGCAGUUAAAAAGCUCGUAGUUGGAUGUUGGUCGGGUGGCAGGCGGUCUSGCAGGCACAAUGCUGCCGUAGUUGCACUGCCGCCCAUGACCAACCAGGGUGGAUGUAAGGGGGCAGUCAUAACUGACUACCUGGGCGGCUGCAUUCUUGCGGUGCCGUCUGUCUGGGUGCCCUUGACUGGGUGGCCCGCCUGAAUAAUGGUGCAUGGAAUAAUGGAACAGGACCUUGGUUCUAUUCUGUUGGUUCUCCGGGACUUGAGGAAAUGAUCAAGAGGGACAGAUGGGGACAUUCAUACUGCGGCAUGAAAGGUGAAAUUCUUGGACCACCGCAAGAUGGACUACUGCAAAAGCAUUUUCCAAGAAUGUUUUCAUUAAUCAAGAUCGAAAGUCAGAGGUUCGAAGACGAUCAGAUACUGUCCUAGUUCUGACCAUAAACGAUCCGCCGGAGUUGUACCUAUGACCCAGCAGGCAGCCUCCAGGAAACCUCAAGUUCUUUGGUUUCCAGGGGAAGUAUGGUUGCAAAGCUGAAACUUAAAGGAAUUGACGGAAGGGCACCACCAGGAGUGGAGCCUGUGGCUUAAUUUGACUCAACACGGGGAAACUCACCCGGCCCGGACACCGUGAGGAUUGACAGAUUGAGAGCUCUUUCUUGAUUCGGUGGGUGGUGGUGCAUGGCCGUUCUUAGUUGGUGGAGCGAUUUGUCUGGUUAAUUCCGAUAACGAACGAGACUCUGGCCUGCUAAAUAGUCCUCCCCCCGCCAAUGGAGGGGAGCCCAGACUUCUUAGAGGGAAAAGUGGCGUUUAGCCACACGAGUUGGAGCAAUAACAGGUCUGUGAUGCCCUUAGAUGUUCGGGGCCGCACGCGCGCUACACUGAAAGAGGCAGAGGGUCGAGUCCUGGUCUGGCAAGGCUGGGCAACCCGUGCACAAACUCUAUCGUGCUAGGGACUGGGGCUUGCAAUUUUUCCCCAUCAACGAGGAAUUCCCAGUAAGCGCGAGUCAUCAGCUCGUGUUGAUUACGUCCCUGCCCUUUGUACACACCGCCCGUCGCUACUACCGAUUGAAUGGUUUAGUGAGGCCCUCGGACGGGCCCCGGGCUGGCCCUCGUGGCUGGCUGUCUGGUGCUGCCUGAAAGACGGUCGAACUUGAUCAUUUAGAGGAAGUAAAAGUCGUAACAAGGUUUCCGUA